rnacentral:rRNA from 1 species
ACGAACGCUGGCGGCGUGCUUAACACAUGCAAGUCGAACGGAAAGGCCCUGCUUUUGUGGGGUGCUCGAGUGGCGAACGGGUGAGUAACACGUGAGUAACCUGCCCUUGACUUUGGGAUAACUUCAGGAAACUGGGGCUAAUACAGGAUAGGAGCUCCUGCUGCAUGGUGGGGGUUGGAAAGUUUCGGCGGUGGGGGAUGGACUCGCGGCUUAUCAGCUUGUUGGUGGGGUAGUGGCUUACCAAGGCUUUGACGGGUAGCCGGCCUGAGAGGGUGACCGGCCACAUUGGGACUGAGAUACGGCCCAGACUCCUACGGGAGGCAGCAGUGGGGAAUAUUGCACAAUGGGCGGAAGCCUGAUGCAGCAACGCCGCGUGCGGGAUGACGGCCUUCGGGUUGUAAACCGCUUUCGCCUGUGACGAAGCGUGAGUGACGGUAAUGGGUAAAGAAGCACCGGCUAACUACGUG